rnacentral:rRNA from 1 species
GAGGGGUGCAAGCGUUACUCGGAAUCACUGGGGCGUAAAGGGUGCGUAGGCUGGCUUCUAAGUCAGAUGUGAAAUUCCAAUGGCUUAACCAUUGAACUGCAUUUGAAACUGGGAGCCUAGAGUUCAGAAGGGGCAGAUGGAAUUAGUGGUGUAGGGGUAAAAUCCGUAGAUAUCACUAGGAAUAUCAAAAGCGAAGGCGAUCUGCUGGGAUGAUACUGACGCUGAGGCACGAAAGCGUGGGGAGCAAACAGGAUUAGAUACCCUGGUAGUCCACGCCCUAAACGAUGAAUGCUAGUCGUCGGGGAGCUCGUCUCUUCGGUGAUGCACUUAACAGAUUAAGCAUUCCGCCUGGGGAGUACGGUCGCAAGAUUAAAACUCAAAGGAAUAGACGGGGACCCGCACAAGUGGUGGAGCAUGUGGUUUAAUUCGAAGAUACACGAAGAACCUUACCUGGCCUUGACAUGGUAGGAACCCUUAAGAGAUUAGGGGGUGCUAGCUUGCUAGAACCUACACACAGGUGCUGCACGGCUGUCGUCAGCUCGUGUCGUGAGAUGUUGGGUUAAGUCCCGCAACGAGCGCAACCCUCGUCUUUAGUUGCUAACAGUUUGGCUGAGCACUCUAAAGAGACUGCCUUCGUAAGGAGGAGGAAGGUGAGGACGACGUCAAGUCAUCAUGGCCCUUACGGCCAGGGCUACACACGUGCUACAAUGGGGCGUACAAAGAGCUGCAAUACCGCGAGGUGGAGCCAAUCUCUUAAAGCGUCUCUCAGUUCGGAUUGUUCUCUGCAACUCGAGAACAUGAAGCUGGAAUCACUAGUAAUCGUAGAUCAGCUAUGCUACGGUGAAUACGUUCCCGGGUCUUGUACUCACCGCCCGUCACACCAUGGGAGUUGAUUUCACCCGAAAUCGGGAUGCCAAACUGGCUACCGCUUACGGUGGAAUUAGCGANCUGGGGUGAAGUCGUAACAAGGUAANCCGUAGGAGAACCUGCGGCUGGAUCACCUCCUUCU